CGUUUUGUCUGCAGGCUGUCGAGAGCAUCAAGGCGGUGGUAGCACUGUGCGAUUCAGCUGAUGAGGAGCUUCGCCACGUCGCCAUAGAAACACUACUCACGCUUGGUGAGGAGGGUCGGCUGGCGUACGAGCGGCUGGACACCGUACCGGGGGAAAUGAUCCGUCUGGGCACACGGCGAGGAAACGCCGUCACCACUGCCUUCUGAGCCACGGCUCCACCGAGAAGACGAGAGAUCAAACUCCAGCCUGAGCUCUGAGGAUGACACUGCCCCCUCAGCUCCACGCCACACUGCACACCUCACAGGCUGUUCUUUUACCGAUCAGUUUAUUGAUCUCCACCUGCCGCAUUAGAUCACUGUUGUUACUGAUACUGCCUCUUACAAGAAACUAACACCAAACAAACUGUCUUAACCACAAAGGCAUACAACCUAUACCCCUCCUGCACACACACACACAAAUGUUAUUCCGCCACACCUUUACUCCCGCACAACCCCCCCCUCACCCCCUUCCUCCCCCUGCGUUCUGAGCCAGGAACACUGGUCACGUUGAGUUUUCACUUGAGCACAGAUUUGACGGGACACGAAGCCACUGAACGCUGCAGAAAACUGUGGAAACUGGAAGCAAUGCGUCUUCACACAAACCUGUCGACAAACAACACGCCACCGCACACAACACACGUAUCACUCACCCACUGAUUAACUCAUAUUGGCUGUUGCAGCGUCAGUCGUGUCAAGCAAUAUUCCAACUAUGACCUUUGUAUAAUCACUGUUUAUCACACGUUUAAAUUGGUGGUUUAUGCAUCAGAGAUGUUUUCGGCGCUUUCGGACGAUUUGCACUGUUGUAACGCAUGUAAAUAUGGCAUAUUUUACACAGCCGGUGUAAUAUAUAUAUGGUUGUAUUCAAAGUGUAUUUUUAGGUUUUUGUUUUCUAGUACGUUCCAUUUUGAGUUUCAGGGAUUCUCGUGUGUUUUGUGGCGGCGAGGACCGUACAUGUGUUGAAAGUGGCUUUGGAGAGAAAGUGAGGUGAAACUGUGAAAGAACGUCGAGCAGAUUUAAGACCUCAAGUCUUAAACUCAAGUUUAUCAGUGGAGACAAAAAAGGAAGAAGCUCAGAUCUAAACUGCUGAGAGAGUGAACCUCGAGUUUUUCUCAUACCUGCAGUCGAACAAGUGCAAUUUUUCUGUACAUAGCUGACGUGAAAAGACGUUUGAUAAAAGUCGGCCUUUUGACCAUUUGAGCCUUGAUGUGGUCGAGCAGGAAUUCUCUCUCUUUUGUAAAUGGUUUUUUUUCCUACCAGGUACGGAGCCACUCGAGGGCAAUAAAUUCAGUUUGCAUGAGAACGCACAUUCUCAGUAACUGUACGGAGAGGAUGGAUGGAUGCGUGUUGUUUCGGUUCUUGGUAACUGCACCUUCAUUCGGCGUGUGAGCAAAUAGCCAGAUGAGAAGUGAAGUGAAGCUUUUUCUACGAGAAGUUGCAGGAUGGAAUGUUUGGUGCGUCUCGGGUCGUCUCGUUCUCCUGUAACUGACCCGAGUUCAGCAUUUAAACUUUUGUCAGUGUAACUGAACUACUGAGUCCAGUGAGACGAUAAAACUCACAUCUGUUCUCACCUCUUAUUUAUUAUUUACCCCUCGAAUUUCUAAUAUGCUUUGGAAGUUUUACUGUAACAGUGCAGGUGACUUUGUUAUGUAUAUAUUUAUGUUGGACUUUUGGAUCAGGUCGAGGACAGUUGGUUUAAAAAGGCCUCCGUGUUAUUACCAUGCAACUGAUCUCAUGCUUAACUUAAAUUGGAGUUUAUUUUGAGAGAAUUAUAUUAUAUGGAUUAUUAUUUUGGAGAAGAUUAAGAUUUGCUCAUAGUCUAAUAGCGUUAUAGAUUUGUUUUUCCCUAAAAGGUCCCGGACAAAAUGGGACAUUAUAUAUAGGAAAUGUUACUUUAUGACUUAGAUUUACUGUAACCAAAGGAAGAAUUAAUUUUUAAAUUGUCCUUUAAUUAAUGCUCAUAAUUCAUCUUGAAGAAUGUAUUUUCAAUACCACAUUGGCAUUUUGGCCACAAUGCUCAGACUCGUCUUUAGAAGCACAACUUUUAAAAAAAACAACAAACCCAUAACAUAUGACUUUAACUACAUUUGGUUCUAACUGCACAGUCCAGAAGCCAUACUGAUUAAAAACAAGUGGUAAUAUUUCUAUGAAAUGUAUUUUUUUCUUUUGUAUUAUAAUAUGUAAAUGUGUGAAGUUGUUGCUAAAAGCUGAAACUUUUUUUUCUAUACAACCUUUUACAAAACAUGUUUUAAGUCCAGUUACAGUAUUUUGGUCGAGUAUCUAAUUCAGCUACUCAUUCAGUGUCUACUUUUUUUUUCUCUUUUUACAAACUUUCAGUUGACCAGUGUUAUAAAGUUUUGCUGUUCAAUUCCUAAUCACCACAAAUACAAGUUGGCAAAAAUGUGCAUGUUUAAUUAUCAGGAUAACUUGGUUGCUAAAAUUGAACUUGAUCCAUCUCUGUAGCUUCUGUACUCAUCCAUUUAGUUGCAUCCUCUUCUUCAUUGUGGUCAGCAGCAUUUACUCUGCUCAUCUAAAGUUGCAAUAAAUUUUAUUUUUGCAUAA